UGGGGAAUUUUGGACAAUGGGCGAAAGCCUGAUCCAGCAAUGCCGCGUGUGUGAAGAAGGCCUUCGGGUUGUAAAGCACUUUUGUCCGGAAAGAAAUCCUUGGCUCUAAUACAGUCGGGGGAUGACGGUACCGGAAGAAUAAGCACCGGCUAACUACGUGCCAGCAGCCGCGGUAAUACGUAGGGUGCAAGCGUUAAUCGGAAUUACUGGGCGUAAAGCGUGCGCAGGCGGUUUGCUAAGACCGAUGUGAAAUCCCCGGGCUCAACCUGGGAACUGCAUUGGUGACUGGCAGGCUAGAGUAUGGCAGAGGGGGGUAGAAUUCCACGUGUAGCAGUGAAAUGCGUAGAGAUGUGGAGGAAUACCGAUGGCGAAGGCAGCCCCCUGGGCCAAUACUGACGCUCAUGCACGAAAGCGUGGGGAGCAAAACAGGAUUAGAUACCCUGGUAGUCCACGCCCUAAACGAUGUCAACUAGUUGUUGGGGAUUCAUUUCCUUAGUAACGUAGCUAACGCGUGAAGUUGACCGCCUGGGGAGUACGGUCGCAAGAUUAAAACUUAAAUGAAUUGACGGGGUCAUAGCUG
rnacentral:rRNA from 1 species